CAAAGGUUUUGAAUCAGUUAGGCCUAUAGCUAGCCGUAGUCACUUGGACUCUGAAAUUCUCUGCCCUAUACUUCGACGCAGCAACAGAGACAUGAAGCACCAAGUUUUUUUGAUUCCUUGCAUCCUUCUCUUGGCACUUUGUACUACCGUGUGUGGUCAACAUGGCUUUUUCCCUGAGAAGUGUUGUUUCCGAUAUUACAACAAACCCAUUCCUCGUAAAAGUGUUGACCGCAUUUUGGCGACGUCUCCUGAAUGUGUCAAGCCAGGUUUCCUGGUUAUAACAAAGAAACAAGGAGCGUCUCUCUGUGUCAACCCAAGGAGCCCAGCUGUUGACAAACUGCUGCGUGAGUUCUACCUGCAGUAGACUUUCAGCUGGUGAAAUGUGCUGACCCAAAACUAUCCACCUUACUAAUCACCUUCCAUUCUGCUUCUGUGAAAACCUUUAUACUCCAGAAGAGAUUGGCUAUUUCCUCCCUGCAAUGUUCUUGUUAAUGCACUCUCCCCUUUGCCUUUCUCUUUGGUUGUUACUUUUCCCCUUCUAUUUUUCUUCUUUCUUAAAUAUCAGUUUUGUAAUCACAAAUUAGGUAAAGGUAAACUUGGCACAUUGUUUGAUAAUAUUUUGAUUUAGAUGUUUUAUAGUCACAGGGAUUCAUGACUUUCUUUACCAGCUUGGUGAUCAUUACUGACUGUGUUUUGUAUCUUGCACUGGUUAGUCUGGUCUGUGGGUGUUAGCGGCAUCCCCACAGACCUCAUUUCAGCACAAAAUCAGCCACAUAAUUGAUGCAUCAUAGACCAACACAGUAGCCUGCAAUACACAGCUUUGGCAUGCACAUAGGUAUUUAGUAGACCAAGUCUGGCUAGUGGCAAGUGCACUGCGUCUACUAAUUAACACACGAAUGUACUGUGUUCUAUGUAGGCUACUGCAACAUAAGCACCAUGGCCGUAACUACCAUUGAGGACACAGAGGUCAUGUCCUCUGUAUUUUUUUUCUUAUCUCAUCAUGUCUUGUCUACAGACAUGCACAAUUUACCUUUAAAUUAACCAUGAAUACACGGUUUGUCUACUAACAUUUGUGAAGCUUUUCUAUCAUUACCAACUGCACUGUAUUUUACUCGGUAUGACCUCUGUCAAACAAAGUUAAUAUAUACUGUAACUGUUUAAACUGUCAUGUCUUACCAUGAGUGAAAUAGA